rnacentral:rRNA from 1 species
UACGUAGGGUGCGAGCGUUAAUCGGAAUUACUGGGCGUAAAGCGUGCGCAGGCGGUUUUGUAAGCCAAGUGUGAAAGCCCCGGGCUCAACCCGGGAAGUGCACUUGAAACUGGGAGGCUAGAGUAUCGGAGAGGUUGGUGGAAUUCUCGGUGUAGAGGUGAAAUUCGUAGAUAUCGAGAGGAACACCGGUGGCGAAGGCGGCCAACUGGACGAAUACUGACGCUGAGACUCGAAAGCGUGGGGAGCAAACAGG